rnacentral:tRNA from 1 species
GGAGGGGACAGCUCAAGUGGUAGAGUACAUGCUUGGCACGCAGGAGGUCCUGGGUUCAAUCCCCAGUACCUCCA